rnacentral:rRNA from 1 species
UACAUAGGGUGCAAGCGUUACUCGGAAUUACUGGGCGUAAAGCGUGCGUAGUCGGUUAUCUAAGUCGGGUGUGAAAUCCCCGGGCUCAACCUGGGAAUUGCAUUCGAUACUGGAUAGCUAGAUUUCGGCAGAGGGAAGCGGAAUUUCGGGUGUAGCGGUGAAAUGCGUAGAUAUCCGAAGGAACAUCAGUGGCGAAAGCGACUUCCUGGACCAAUACUGACGCUCAUGUGCGAAAGCGUGGGGAGCAAACAGG